CUACGGGUGGCACCAGUGGGGAAUAUUGCACAAUGGGCGCAAGCCUGAUGCAGCAACGCCGUGUGAGUGAUGAAGGUCUUCGGAUUGUAAAACUCUGUCCUAUGGGAAGAAAAAAAUGACGGUACCAUAGGAGGAAGCCCCGGCUAACUACGUGCCAGCAGCCGCGGUAAUACGUAGGGGGCAAGCGUUAUCCGGAAUCACUGGGCGUAAAGGGUGCGUAGGCGGCCUAGCAAGUCAGAGGUGAAAGGCAUUGGCUCAACCAAUGUAAGCCUUUGAAACUGUUAGGCUUGAGUGCAGGAGAGGUAAGUGGAAUUCCUAGUGUAGAGGUGAAAUUCGUAGAUAUUAGGAGGAACACCAGUGGCGAAGGCGACUUACUGGACUGUAACUGACGCUGAGGCACGAAAGCGUGGGGAGCGAACAGGAUUAGAUACCCUCGUAGUC
rnacentral:rRNA from 1 species